UUCGGAGGGAGCGAUCGUUACUCGGAAUCACUGGGCGUAAAGGGCGCGUAGGCGGUCUAGCAAGUCUGGUGUGAAAGCCCAGGGCUCAACCCUGGAAGGGCACUGGAAACUGCUAGGCUUGAGUUCCGGAGAGGAGGGGGGAAUUCCCGGUGUAGCGGUGAAAUGCGUAGAUAUCGGGAGGAAUACCGGUGGCGAAGGCGCCCCUCUGGACGGAGACUGACGCUGAGGCGCGAAAGCGUGGGGAGCAAACAGG
rnacentral:rRNA from 1 species